rnacentral:rRNA from 1 species
CAGGAUUAGAUACCCUAUUAUAUUUAAACAAAUUGGGUAGUAUUAUUAAUAAAAACCUUUAUACUUUGGCGGCAUUUUAUCUUAUUAGAGGAAUAUGUUCAUUAAUCGAAACCACACGAUAGUUUUUACUUACUAUAAAAUUUUAUAUACCCCCGUCUAAAGAAUUUAUUUAAAAUUUUUAUUCCAAAUUAUAUUAAAAAAAGUUAGGUAAAGGUGUAGACUAUUAGUAAGAUUAAAUGUAUUACAUUAAAAAAAAUUUAAGGAUAAAACAGUUAACUGUUUAUUAAAAGAGGAUUUAUAAGUAAUUUACUUUUAAUAAAAA